CCCGACAGUUCCCUUGUGAGUUGUCCAAUCUGUUAACCUUGUUUACCCCUCGGGCUACAGAUUUUCUUUUGUCUUAGAUAUGAGUCACCAGGCACACCCUAAUGUUUAGGGCAAACAGGAACAUUCCAGAAAGAAGAGACAAAGAACAAAGAAAAAUAUGGCUACCGAAAAUAUAAUACCAAUGCCACGAUAUCAUACCUUUUUAGCUGAGAGCCUUUUUAGCUCCUUCAAAAAACGUAUUUUGGGUACUAGAGAGCCCACCGGUACACUUGGCCCGCCAGACGAAGCCACCAGUUUAUCGCCUCUUUUUUUCUUUUUCUUUUAAUUUUUGACAGCGGUAAAUAUAUCCGAACUUCUCCGAUGAAUCCAAUUUUUUUUCCAUCGCGCCUGAAAAAUACGAUCAAUUGAAUUAGCUAACAGAUAUUCACGUAAGACACUCCUGGCACAUGAGAAAUGAAGGAAAAGGAAAACUUACCUCCACAUUGAGGACAAGGCGGAAUAAAACCGGAUAAGUCCGGAUGUGGAACCAUUCCCACCAGAUGGCAGAAUUUUUGGGCUGCAUCUUCAGUGGGAAUAUGUUGCGAAAACGUAAAACAGGUCAAGUCUUCAAAAAUUUCCGAUGGAUUGACAUCGGAGCUCUCAGAAGCAGGUUCCAUAUUGAACGGCAUUUUCAAAUAAAGUGACGAACAGAACAAACAAUGUUGCCAGAUCAGAAAGUCAAAAAGUACCAAAGUUGUGCUUCAAAAGUAGCCAGUUUGGGCUAUCUGUAGCCCAAACAUAAAAAUGAAUUACUGUAUUUUGCAACUUUAGCAAUGAAAUUCUUAGAGCUAGCAUUAGGAAAAAAUCUGAUAUUUUAAAUUUUUUCAGAGAUAUUUCCAAUUGGUGUCUACUUGACCAAUCAGAUUGUGCAAUUUCGUACCUUCCGAGUAUCGCGAUUAACGUGACAAUGGUAGGUUAAAAUAAUCAAGCUAUUUACAUUGAUAUAUUUUUCGUUUUAGUGUUUCUUAUACAUAUGAGCAUUGCGUGUAUCUGUAUCAAUUUUCUAUCUUGUCAAAGCGAGUCAUUUGUGGGUCCUUAAUUGCCUAAGCCUAUUAUUGGUUUGGCCAGGCCCACAAUGGAGAGAUCGGGUUGGUGAGGGAUGGAGCCUGACAUAUCCAAAUGGACCAUCUCCCGAAAAAUUCAUAAAGAUUUUUCAACUCGAUUCUGGAUCCCCCAGAGUGGAGGCUGCCACCUUGGGUUCAUUCGUUAAUUAAUAGCGGUUGCUUGCAUCUUCACUACUGCAUGAGUGCACUGCUGUUCGGCAAUUAGGAAUGAAGGUGAAAGAAAGAAAGAUGUCGGCGCCUGUACUAUCAUAACAGAAGGAUCUAUGAUUUUAAAAUAUGCAUUUUUAAAGACCAAAGAAGAGUUUUGAUUGUAAAAUAUAACCAUGAAAUGGAUUAUUUUGCUGACAGAGCAUUCAAAGUAGCAGGAAAAAAAAAUUAAAAUGCCGGGUACCAUUCGAGAAGAUACAUCACCACUUGUACAUAUAUAACUUCUAAAAUUUCAUUCAUAAAACCACAUAAUGGACCCCAAAAUGAAACUGUUUGAGCUAUGGAGAACGCCAUGUUGCUUUCCACCGUAAACUACUGCUACAAGCGGCCGUUUUUGCCGUCCGACAGCGCGCAUUCUGACUGGAAUUUAGGAACACGUUCGGCAGGAAUUUUUAAUUUAAACGGGUGCCGCUCACACGGAGAAAUAUAAAAAAAAAAUACACUCCUUGACCACUCGGCCAUUCGACCGUCCGAUAGUAUAUGUUAGGUAGGGUAAGCAUAAAAUUUAAUGCAAAUUGUACACAGAAAAUAAUAUUUUUGUCUAUUUUCCACUAAGUUUCAUUCGUUCUUGCAUUGCACACAUAUUUGUUUAUCUAAAAUCAAUCCUUCGUGUUGCAAAAAAGCUACCAAAACUAUUUCGUGAUAACAAAUAUCAAUAGCAGUAUACAUCGCUCUUUGAAUACAAACGAAAACGAAAAAAUUAUGAGUCUCUUAAUCUGCGUACAAAUGACUUGCUUUGGUGCGAGAGAGAAAAUUGGUAGGUAGUUCGCAUUUACCUAUGUAUAUGUAUUUACGUUCAUAUUCCGCCAGUAAUUUUCGAUCAAUAUAAAGUAUCAAUUUAAUAAAUGCACGAUUAGUUCUCCCAAACAAAAUCACAUGUGGCGAUGAGCGCUCAGCAAUAAAAUUAAUCUAUACUUUUUAUUUAACACACUAAUAAUUUCAUAUAUCAUAAAAUGAAUUAAUACGCAUCUUCCUUUUCGGCUGGUUCUUUGUGAUAGAUUGACAAAUAAAUACGAAAAAAACGGAAUAUUGAGCAAACCUUCAUAAUUUCUACAUGUAAAGUUUAAAUUAAAAUGCGUUUUUCUACUUUGUAAAUGAAAUUGAUUUUAUCUAUUUUAUGAUGAUAUAACAACAAUAGUUUUUUAAAGAUUAGUUUUAGUAACUUCUAUGUAGGUGAUUUAUAUAUAAGUAAAUUAAUUCCUAUUGUCAAACCAUUUUUUUCCAUGUAUUAAUUUAAAAUUAAGAUUUUGUAAUGUUUUAGGAUUACGUGUUAAGUUACAUUAUGUUUAACACAUUCUUUUGGUUUAUUCUGUUUAUUUACCACAUGUAAAGUUUUCUUAACAGUUUUAUUUGAUUUCUUUUUAAUAAACAAUUCUUUCUUUAAUUAAUUUACUCUCAGUAGUGAAGUUUUUAUUACUAGCACAGAUGACAAUACUGUUAUUACAAGUUGCAACAGGACGUGCGGCUCCUGGCAUUUGAAAGUAAUAAUUUUUUUGGUUAUAAAUGUAAUCAAGAUAUAAUAUUCUGAAGUGGAAAUAUACAGUAUUAACAUUUCUUACAUAAAAAUUACUAUUUAAUUAAAAUUAACUAUUACUUUUUACUAUUUAUUAAAUUAUUACAUAAAAAGUAUCUAUACUAUAUAUAAACAAUUUAUAUUAGAGGUUGAGGCACACGUAUUUAGCCCAAAACGUGUACGGGUAACGGGUGAGCGCCGCCAUCUGGCAGUUCUGGACCGUCGAUAAUGGCGUUUGCUACGUGUAGCUUGGUGAGUACACGAUCGGCUUAAACGUCUUCAUUUUUUUUCUGUUUGGGGUUAAAAUUAUGAUUUAUUUUAUUAAAAUAACGAUUAUUUAAGCAUUUAUAGUCACUACUUCUCUUAACAGAAGUAUGUCGUGAAAGCAAGAAAACCGCAUUUGAACUUUCCUUUUUCUCGGAGUUAACACGACGCUAAUUAUAGUAAAAAAAAAUAAUUAUUUAGUGUUAUUAAACAUCAUAUAAAUACUUUUAAACAGUUUAAUUUGUUUAUUUACCUUUCCUGGCAAAAUGCUUCCGCCAUUUUUUUCAACUUAUUUCCCGUGAGUCAAUGCGCGAUGUUCAUUGAGUCACGUGAUGUUAUGAACAGGUGCCUCAACAAUUUUUACUUGGAUUUGAAACAUGUAACGUGUAUUUCUGCUACCCGUACACGUUUAAUGUUUGAACUUGUGCCUCAACCUCUCUAUUUUCCAUUUUACAUACAAUUAUGUAUAUUUUAAAAAGUUAUAUAAAUUAAUAAUAAAGAUUAAUUUUUUUACACCAUGCAAGACACCCUAGGUACAGAAGUGGAGUCACAUGACUGGAAAUGAUGUGCGUAUAGUUGAUUGUGAUACAUAGUUAAAAGCGAGUCUUCGCUGAGCAAGGCGGAGUCACGCGCAGCCUGAUUAUAAAAUACCAGCGAAUCGUAUAUUAUCUACAGAUCAAAAAUAUAUACAUACUUCAGUUUAAAAAUGGAACACAUGUUUAUUCAUUACAAUGGGCAAAGAAGAUGCAUGGGGUUCACAGAUUUAGUUCACAGUACGGAGUGUACUAUACAGUAGAGGGUACAAUUUUUAAAUUUGUAAUCUAUGUUGUAUCAGUGUUUAUUUUUAUAUAAUUCAAUAUGUAUCAAUGCUUUACAUUAAAUUCCUUACAAAUUAAAUUUUAUAUCUCAAAAUGUAUCUAACCUAUAUUACUAAUAGCAAUCAAAACAUAUGGCCAUGCAAGAAUCACGCCUGAUUUUUCUGUUUGACAGAAUUUCACAUGGUGAUUCAUUGUUGCCAACAUUACACAACCAUUAAUAGGAGCUGACUUUUUAUCCUAUUAUGGACUUCCAGACCUUUGCAACAAAUGUCUCAUUGACUCAACCACAACUGUUAAGCUGCAAACAUAUUCGCAGCGUCACGACGUUGUCUGUUCAGACUAUUGCCAGCAACUCUACAUACCACUGACUACUGAGCGAGUUUCGCGAAACAAUACAUUCAUCUCCAACCAUUGCACCCGUACAUCACAUCAUCAGAACACCUGGAUAUCCAGUACCCUGGUGACUUGCACCAGACAAGUACAUACUGGCUUAGUGCAAAUUUGAGUUUAUGCUAUCUCAAGGAAUCUGCCGACCGUACACUAGCAAAUGGUCAUCACCAUUACACCUUGUUCCAAAGAAAGACAACCAGUGGCGGCAACUACCGUCUACUUAAUGCACGGACCAUUCCUGACCGUUAUCCUGUUCAUCACAUAGAGAAUAUCGCAUCUACUCUCCAUGGUUGUCAAUGUUUCUUAUCUGUCCACUUCGUCCAUGUGUUUCACCAUAUUCCUAUAGCCCCGAAAGAUAUCCCUAAUAUGGCCAUCAUUAUACCGUUUUGACUAUGAGUUCAACUUCACAUCUUUUGGUUUGUGCAAUGCCGUGCAAACAUUUCAACACUUCAUGGACGAAUUUACCAGAGACCUCAAUUUUUGUUGCAUAUUUAUCAGUGACAUACUCAGUGUCCCAAGACAAAUAGAGAAUAUCGCAUCUACUUACCAAACAUCUACAACACUUACGCAAAUUGUUUACCAGACUUUGCAACUAUGGAGUCAUAAUCAAUACAUCAAAGUGUGUAUUUUGCAAACACAAAGUGCAAUUCCUUGAGUAUCUAUCCAACCCAAAAGGAAUUUGUCCACUAUUCAGAUAGAGGAGACUCAUUCUGUCAUCAGUCACGAAUUAAAAGACAAGAAAUCUAUCUGUUCAAGAAAUGGACUGUGUUUUAGCGUGUUAUUACAAGCUUAAAGCACAGGUUGCAAAGCUAUGGAAAGUGUUGUCAAAGUCAGGGAACAUGAAAUUAUAAAGUUACAGGCCAGUAUGGAGGAGACUUGCAUACAUUGAACAGAACUUGGAUCUUGUCUAAAGCAACUUUAGAAUAAACUUGAUCAAUUAACGAAGAUCCAAGAAGAAGAAGUUUAUCGGGUGAUGUUGAGCCAGGUCAAUCAUGAGAAGUCAAAGCGUAGAUAAGAUAACCUCAGCAGUAGGAGAAGAGGUGCCUCAUUACCAUCAAAACAGAGAUGUUUGCCAGGAAGAAAUUGUUGAUAAAAGUUCACAGAAGAAAAUGUUAUUCUUGGCCACUCAUAACUCAUUUUCUCCGAUCAGCUGACUUAUUUCUGGUUUUAGGUCACUGAGUGGGGUUGUGAUUGUGAACAAGAUUGUUGGCUUUCUGCCCCAAAUUAUCUUGGGUCUGUGUGACUUCUACUAACUACAGAAAACAACUGGUCAUUUGGCUACUGCGGCGUGGAGUCCAUCUCUUUUAUUCUAGCGGUCAUUAGUUGGAAACCAAUCACACUAGCCCUCUAAGCUUCAGCUUUUGACUUUUCACUUUCGAACUCAUGUUUUUUAUUAUUAUUUUUGGAGUCUUGCAACAAGCUGUGGUUGUUCGUUACAGGACAGGUAUACAAUUCCGCGAACGGAAAGUUACAAACAUAAGAAAAAUACAAAAUUCAAUUAUCACACAGAAUCUUUACUUUAGGAAUCCGAACUUAACAAACUUUAUGCCUCUUUUAUACAUAAAAAAAAGGAACAGGCUUGUCCUCCACUGUCGGCAGGGUUCGUACACGUGACAACAAAAAAAUUUACUUAUAUAGCUAACUUAUAUCUAACUUAUAACUAAUGAAAAAAUAAGAACAUAGGACAGAUGAAUAUGGAAACAAAGGGUAGGGAGAAUAGAAAUACCCAGGACGGUCUUUUCCCAUGGCCCCACUCCCUCUCUUGUUAUUUUCUUAGAAAAAGUAAUCCUACCCCAGGGGCAAAAGGGGUAGGUCAGAAGGUCUUAGAAGAGAUAAAGAAACAGGAAGGAAGUAUAGGAUUAAUUCGAAGAAAAAAAGAUAUAUACAAUCUUUUUUUUUUUUUUUUUAACAACAACAAUAUAUACAAUAUCAUGGCCGACAGCCACAAAGCGUUGUUUCUGGGCACCCAAGGAUCUCUAAGGUGCUUUUCUAGUCACGGGGAUGGCAAGAACAUUGCAGUUGAGGAAGGGUACUUGACUCCUGAACCAUUUGAGCAUGCUGCAGACGAGAAGCAACCACUGGGUGGGUUUGUGACUGUGAACUUAAGACCACCAGUGGUUAAGCAGUCUUUGUACCCUGAAAAUUGGGAGUUUGGUCGUGGGUUAAUGCCUUACUUGGACAGGCAGGCAACAUGGAGUUUUCCAGGUUUACUCCACGUCUGUAAUGCCUAAAUAGUGGCCAGUUUCCCUUAAUGAGACCUCCUGGAAGACAUCCCCCCAGGCAGAUCAUCCAAGUGUUGCGUUGCCAUAACUAAACAAACAAGUGACUGUAAACUCUGUUUAGUGGAGUCAAUGGUCCAGAAGAUGAACAUGGAAAGUAUAAUUGUUCAGAUGGGAAGUCUGGAAGAGACUAUUUUGAAGGAAACAAAACAGAGAAUGGGUUAAAUUCUUGAUCUCUGUCCUGAACUCACCAUCUCUUCCAUAAAAAAUUUAAAAAAAAGAAGGAAGAAGAGAAAUUCGAGAAAACAUUACAAAGCUAUUUAGAGCACUUGACCAGAUGAUCGGAAUCAUCAAAGAGCUCAGAAAUAGCAAAAAAACACAACAGGACAAAACAGAGAUGACCACGACAUACACCAAGAUUUUAAAGCAAAGAGCAAAACCAAGUAAUAAUAGUAAAAUAAUAAACAGCGAGGAAAUGGGAUGCAAUCACGCACUCCUUCUGUAUACAACACAAAAAGAAGACAGAACACAGUCUAACAUGAUAAAAAUAAACAAAUAAAAUGCAAGCUAUCAACAGGGAGAAGACAAUAACUAAUAGUGUUAAACAUCCAAACACUGUUGAAGAUGAAGAAAUAGUGGAAAUGCUGUAUGAACAAAACGACAGCUGCUACUCGAUCCCAAAAGAAGAAUUCCUAGCAAACACUAAAACCAAUACUACAUUUAACAAAGGACUAAUCAAACCAAAUUGCAGACAUGUAGUGAUUUCUGUUUUACCAAAAAUAAGAGGCACCCUGAUAGCACAAAAAAUGUCUCAAUAUCCUUGGCAAAUAUCAGGAUUGACGACUUAAUUCCGAUAAUACGUUGCUACAGGUGUUGUGGCUAUAAUCAUCUUGUCAAAGAUUGUGAAGAUGGACAAAAAUGCUCGCACUGCUCAAAAGAGCAUAAAUACAAAGAUUGUGAGAAAAUGGAUAAACUCCCAACAUGUGCGAACUGUAGAAAAGCUAAUAAAAAAACUUCCCAAAGGUAAAAGAUGUUCAACCGAGCAUAAUGUGCUAAGUGGAGAAUGUCCAGUGACAGAAAGUAAAAACACAAGUAAUCAAUAGAAUCAAUUAUGGACUGUAAUCUGAUAAACGAGCACACUCAGUAUUACCUUCUAAACACAACACAUGGGAAAUCAAGAAAAAUAAUCACAGUGGACACCUACAAGCAAAAUGAACAAAGACUAGGAACCAAUGAUCUAAAUCUCACAAUCAUAAAAAUUUUACAGAUAAAUGCACAGAAAAGUAAAUCUGCUUGUUCUCUAAUAAUACAAACUGCAAAUGAGCUGGACAUAGAUAUAAUAGCCAUACAAGAACCAUAUACUAUAUAUAAUUAAUAACAACAAAGUGCGAUUUGGAAAUUGGCGAAUUGUACAGAACCAAAAGUGGUAUAAUAAUUAGAAAUGAGAACAUCGAACGUGCAAUGAUUCCGUAAUUAUCUAACAAAAUUUACUGCUGCAGUCAUAUAUCAAAAACUAUAGAUUUACAUAAAUGCUUAUCUCUUUCCAGAGGAGGACAAUGAAACCUGUGUCAGUGAACUAGAAGAGAUUGUAAGGAAAAUUGAUAACAAUAUAAUAAUAAUAAUAGGGGGUAUAAACACUAACUCGCAUAUUUGGUUCCACCCCCAAGAGGACAAAAGAGGAAGAAUGAUCUCUGAUAUCAUGGACAAACACAAGUUGAUUUCUGUCAAUAUGAUCAUUUUUACACUGCCUAUGCUGAAAGCCGAAACAAUAGUUUUCACCACGGAGGAAGUGGAGCAUAAAAUACAAAAUUGCAAAACUCUCCUGCUGCCCUCGGGAAGUGCCUAUCGCUAUCUCAUAACUGAAAUAAACAACUUUCAUAUUGGCACAAAGACCACUGGGAAAAAACCACAAACAACAACAAACUGGGAUUUUUUUAAAGAAAUAUUUGCCAGCAAAUGAAGAUAAUUUCAAUUCCAACAGAUAAACAAGUAUAGACUGACAAUUAUGUGACACAUAUCACCGAAGUGCAACAAACAGCUGCCAUACAAUCAACCAGAAUAAAAAUUAUCAGCACCACCAAGAAAGUGCCCUGGUAGACCAACAACUUAGAGAGACAAAAAAAACAAAUCUGAAGACUAAGGAGAAAAAUGGUAAGAAACAGUAACAAAGACAGGCAGCAACAACUAAAGAAUGAAUAUAGACAGGCAUUAAAAGAGAUUUAAAAGAAUAAUAAACAAGACACAAUCUAAGAGUUGGCAGGAGUUUUGUGGAAAGAUUAUACAAAAGACCCCUGGAAUGUUCCCUUCCAAGUUGCAUUUCAAGGAAGGAAGAAAGUACAUGUACUGCACAAAACCAAUGAGAGUUUUGAUUAAAACAGCUUUGAUAUCACUCAGAAUAAAAAGACAAUAUUAGACUAUCACUUCCCCAGCAACAAUCUGAAUACUGACACAGACAUUCACAGGGAAAUCAGAGUCGAUCACAGUAGCUCUCAAACCCAUACAAAUAAUGACAUUCUCUUCUCUUUUAGGAUUGGAUGGAAUUUCAACAGAAAUGGUGAAGUCUGCAUACACAAGUCCCAAUUGCCUUUGUCUCUCUUUAUAAUGAAUGUCUCAAAAUAGACUACUUCCCUGACAAUUGGAAGAUAGCAAACAUUCCUGAGCAAUUCACACCCAUCAGUUUACCACCAGUACUUAGAAAAUUUUUGGAUGAGAUAAUAAUAGAAUAUACCACCACCUCUAGAAAAAUGACAAACUUAACGAACAGCAGUUUGGCUUUAGACAAGGGCAGUCAACAAUCCAAGCCACUCUCUGGGUAAAAGACUUUAUAACAAAUGCAUGGGAGAAGGGAGAACAUGCCAUGAUAAUUUCUGUUCAUUUUAAAAAAGAAUUUGACUACCUGUGGUGGCCGAACUUAUUUAAAAGACUUAAUGAGACAGAAUACCCUGCAAAAAUGCAAGAAAUACUUAGGAAUUAUUUACAUAACAGAAAAGCAGGCUACUUCUCUAAUAACAUCAACAUUAUAAAGCAGGUUGUCAGGGAAUGCCCUCAGGUCUUGAGAAGUGGACCAGGCAUUUGACAGCUGUUCACUGUUAGAAAAAUACAACCAAACAGCAAGAGCAAAGAUACUGGCAUUUGCAGAUGAUGUCAUUCUAAUGAUAGCAAACAAGAAUUGAAAUAGGCUAGCAGAGGAAGGAAACAAAGCCUGGAGAAGAUAAACAAGUGGAGUCAAACACAUAAAUUGGAAAUAAAUUAUAAAAAAUGUGAGAUCCUAGUGUGUUCAAAAAAAUUUGGAAGAGGACAACUUAAAAAAACAAAUUGACAUAAAUGUCAACAGAAACAAAAUAAAAAAUGUGAACAAAAUGAGAUACCUGAGCAUCUUUUUUGGUGGGGAACUCAGCUGGAAAGGACAAAAUUCACCAAAAAUGCUUGAGAAAAGCAACACACACAUGCAAAUUUCUAGAAAUGUCUGGGGCUUCAACCAUUAGUCAUCAAGAUUGGUGAUUGAACCUGUGCUUUUAUACAGUGUACAGGUGUAAGGCGAAUCAGCAAACAAAAUUGAAACAAAAAGAAAACUACAAUGAAUUCAAAGGAAAUACAUGAUAAACAUUUGUAAGGCUUACAGAACGACCCCAACUGAUGCAUUGUUGGUUCUAGUAAAUAUCUUUCCAAUAGACCUCAGGGUCAAAUAACUCAUAUGAGAAUGAUCCCUAAUAAAGGAAGAUGUUAACAGCUUAAACAACAAAGAAACAGAAGGCAAAAUCAAGAAGGGAAAUUAUCGGAAUUGGUGAACUCAUUCAAGAAAUAAAGGUAAACCAACUGGAAAAAGUAACAAAAAACCUGGGUCAUGUUCAGUAACGCAGAACAAGUUAGAAUUCUGAGUGGCUUAGUGGGCGGAGCUAAGAAUGUUCUGAGCAUCAUUGAACGACUAUUCUUUGUUAGACAACUAGGUAAAAUGGUGGAUGAAGUGAAAAUUAUUAUUGUAACAAUUGUCGCAAACAAACUAGCCAAAAAUGAUGAAAUAACAAAUAUAAUUAUUCAAAUGGAAGCUAUGUCAGAUCAUGACAAAAUGAAGUAAUCAUUAAAUUUAAUCAAGGAAAUGGACUGUUAUCAUCCGUUAAAAUGUAUUUGGAAUCUAUUAUACCAACAUUUGAUGAUUUUACAUUCCAAAGUCAUUUUAGAAUGAGUAGACAUUCAAUCCUAAAACUUCUAGCAUUUGUUCAGGAUGAUGAUCAAACUUCUGAAACAGAUGGUAUAGGGAAUAACUUAACUACAAUUCCAGUUAUUAAAAAAAUUCUUAUAACUAUAUGAUAUCUUGCUAAUCAAGGAAGUUAUAGACAGAGUAUGGAAAAGUACUGCUCAAUACAUAAUUUCUGCUAUUUCUACUAGUGAUUCGUCGACACUUAUUUGUUGAUGAGGAGUAUAAUGAUGUCGGAACACCCUAUUUGCGUGAUCCUCCAAAGGUUGAUAUCAUGCAGAGGCAUUAUAACCUAAUUCCCUUGAGCCAGGUGACUUACUAUUAUCCAUGAGAUGGAAGAAUUGAAGCAACUGCAAUAGCAGUACCUACUACAAAUUUCCGCAUACCACGUAUGUAUGUAGGGAGGAAGAGUGGACCAGUAAUCUGAUAUUUUUGGUCUUCUGUCAAUUCCCAUUGCAAAAACAAUAGCCAAAAACCCCUUUAUAUCUUUAAUAGUGACUGGUUUCCACAUCAGAUAUUUGGGAACAUUCUCCCCCAUGCCAAUUAUAACUUGCUUGGCAUACCUAUUAGUUUCCGUCACCAUAAGGGAAAGUAAAGUAAAAGUGAAAAAAAUGUUAAAAUAUUCUACAGGAUGAGAAUCAGGAGGAGGCUGGGGAAAGAAGCGGGUAGAGAUGGUUCUGGUGGCAGAACCUCAAGGUACACCUCAUCUUCCAACUCGUCAUCAGAAAGCUGAAUGGAGGAUGGUCCAACAUAUGAGGUGGUAGGCCCGGUGAACGACGUGGAUGGCCCGGCGGAUGACAUGGAUAGCCCAGCAGAUGGUGAAGAAGGUCCCGCAGCUUCUUCAAAGUGAUGUUGAAGUUCUGGAAUACAGGCAUCUUCUUCGUCGUAAUCUGAAUAAAAAUCCCUGUAUUCCGGAACUUCAACAUCACUUUGACUGUCAUCACUGUCAGACUCAAUGUCUCUGAGACUGACAACUCGUUGUCAAAGUAUGCUGACACUUCUGUUUCUUUAAUUUUUUUUGUUGCAGACAUACUGUAUUCGGAAAUUAAUUUGAAAUAAAAGAUACAUGUUACAAUUGAGAAUAACAGUAAAAAA
rnacentral:lncRNA from 1 species